GCUGGCACGGUUCUGUGAGAAUAAAAGUUCUAAUUGUCACCAUCAGGUUCAAUAUAUAUAUCCUUUGUGGCCAUCUAAUUCAUUAUGUUAGUCCUCCUGUGGCAAUCUAGUUCAAACGAAUGUGUCAUAGCUAUACAGCAGUUUAAGCAUCACAUUCUGUUUCUUCACAUGCUGUUUCGAAACCAGAAUUUUUUUGUGCUUCUUCAGAUUCUGGUUGCCUUUCUAUAAAUCUUAGAAGACAUUUGCACUUUC